rnacentral:rRNA from 1 species
CAGUCGCCACGGGAAUACGGAGGGGGCUAGCGUUGUUCGGAAUUACUGGGCGUAAAGCGCACGUAGGCGGCUUUGUAAGUCAGAGGUGAAAGCCCGGGGCUCAACCCCGGAAUUGCCUUUGAGACUGCAUCGCUUGAAUUCAGGAGAGGUGAGUGGAAUUCCGAGUGUAGAGGUGAAAUUCGUAGAUAUUCGGAAGAACACCAGUGGCGAAGGCGGCUCACUGGACUGGUAUUGACGCUGAGGUGCGAAAGCGUGGGGAGCAAACAGGAUUAGAUACCCCCGUAGUCCCUGUCUCUUAUAC